AGAGUUUGAUCCUGGCUCAGGAUGAACGCUAGCGGCAGGCCUAAUACAUGCAAGUCGAGGGGUAACAGGUGUAGCAAUACAUGCUGACGACCGGCGCACGGGUGCGUAACACGUAUAUAAUCUACCUUUUACUGGAGAAUAGCCCGAAGAAAUUCGGAUUAAUACUCCAUAAUAAUAUUGAGGGGCAUCUCUUGAUAUUUAAAGUUCAGACGGUAAAAGAUGAGUAUGCGCGAUAUUAGCUAGUUGGUGAGGUAACGGCUCACCAAGGCGACGAUAUCUAGGGGUACUGAGAGGUUACACCCCCACACUGGUACUGAGACACGGACCAGACUCCUACGGGAGGCAGCAGUAAGGAAUAUUGGACAAUGGUCGCAAGACUGAUCCAGCCAUGCCGCGUGCAGGAUGACUGCCCUAUGGGUUGUAAACUGCUUUUAUACGGGAAUAAACCCGGGUACGUGUACCCGGCUGAAUGUACUGUAAGAAUAAGGGUCGGCUAACUUCGUGCCAGCAGCCGCGGUAAGACGAAGGACCCAAGCGUUAUCCGGAUUCAUUGGGUUUAAAGGGUGCGUAGGCGGGUUGAUAAGUCAGUGGUGAAAGCCCAACGCUUAACGUUGGAACUGCCAUUGAUACUGUCGAUCUUGAAUGUGUUUGAUGUGGGCGGAAUAUGACAUGUAGCGGUGAAAUGCUUAGAUAUGUCAUAGAACACCGAUUGCGAAAGCAGCUCACAAAGCCACUAUUGACGCUGAGGCACGAAAGCGUGGGGAUCAAACAGGAUUAGAUACCCUGGUAGUCCACGCCGUAAACUUUGAUCACUCGCUGUUGGCGAUACACUGUCAGCGGCUAAGCGAAAGCGUUAAGUGAUCCACCUGGGGAGUACGGUCGCAAGACUGAAACUCAAAGGAAUUGACGGGGGCCCGCACAAGCGGUGGAGCAUGUGGUUUAAUUCGAUGAUACGCGAGGAACCUUACCAGGGCUUGAAAGUUAGCGACUUACCGUGAAAGCGGUGAUCCCUUCGGGGCGCGAAACUAGGUGCUGCAAGGCUGUCGUCAGCUCGUGCCGUGAGGUGUUGGGUUAAGUCCCGCAACGAGCGCAACCCCUACUUCUAGUUGCCAACAGGUAAUGCUGGGGACUCUAGAGGAACUGCCCGCGCAAGCGGUGAGGAAGGUGGGGACGACGUCAAGUCAUCACGGCCCUUACGUCCUGGGCUACACACGUGCUACAAUGGCGGAGACAACGGGCAGCUACACUGCGAAGUGAUGCUAAUCUCUAAACUCCGUCUCAGUUCGGAUUGAAGUCUGCAACUCGACUUCAUGAAGCUGGAAUCGCUAGUAAUCGCGUAUCAGCAAUGACGCGGUGAAUACGUUCCCGGGCCUUGUACACACCGCCCGUCAAACAAUGGAAGCUGGGAGUACCUAAAGUCAGUAGUCGCAAGACGCUGCCUAGGGUAAAACCGGUAACUGGUGUUAAGUCGUAACAAGGUAGCCGUACCGGAAGGUGCGGCUG
rnacentral:rRNA from 1 species